rnacentral:lncRNA from 1 species
AAAAGAAAGAAAGGCUGAAAUACGGUGCUUAUGCUAUUUUCUCUUGCUUUUUCAGGGUAUAUGAGAGGAAAAUUACCUGGGCAAAAGAGCAUUUUGAAACAAAGAAAAGCUUCCAUGAAAUAGCCUUCCAGACUAGUGGGAAUGGAUCUCUUGUGAUUUUAAAUGUGUUCCAGUACUAUGCUAACACAUGCAAAGGAUGAAGGAAACAACUUACAAAUGGAGAGAGUGUCAAAUUCGCAAAUCAAGACAGAAUAAUUCAUCCUAAGAGAUAAUUUAUACCGACUAAGCUGUCUGAGGCUUUGGAGAUCAGCUUCUGGCAUGUGUUUCUCCCCAGCUUGCACAGUGGACCACAACAUGCUAUAUAGAUGAUUCAUGGGCUGGAGACUUUCUGCACAUGCGGGGCCCAAGGUUUUUGAUGGAGUAAGAACAUAAGAAAGCUGAUUCAAAACACACCCUCUGAGGCCAAACUUGACCUCUUCUCAAACACUUCUGCUGGGCUCAAAGAGGCUGAACCUCAGGGACCGAUGUCAAAGGAAGGUGCUCAGGGUCCAGGGUCUGGGAUGCUGAAUACGGCACUUUUUCAAGCUUGCAACCUCUAGAAGAGAGACAACUUCCUGGUGGCUGCUGCAUUCCCUUCUUCAUUUGUACAAUGGAUUGUAUUAGGUGUAAGCAGAGCUUUGCUGUUCCUUAUACUCAUCUAUCCACAGCUGUGUUUGCUAGGACAGAGGGAGUAAAAA